rnacentral:lncRNA from 1 species
UGAUGUAGAAUAUUUAGACUAUGUUAAGUUGUUAAAGGAUAAACCCGAUUGUCUGAUGUGAAUGAUUUUGAUAAUGAGAUAUGUGAUGUCAAUGACUGAGAUAAGGAUAAGUGUAGAGAGAAUGUUAGGAACGAUGAUGUUGUGUGAUGUUCAGCGACAUCUAUAUUAUAACCUUGUCCAUGAUUAAUCUUUGUCAUUUGUAAUAGGUUGAGAGUGAGAUGGAUUCCUUUGUAGUUAAUUCACCUAAGGUCCAACAACCACCU